AUCGCUGCUUAAGCCAGUUGGAUCUCACAGCAGUGAAAGGCUUUACUCUGUCUUUUGUCAGGGUGAAAGUACAUCGAAGUGGCAGCGUGCAGGGUGUGAGGUGAGGGACAGACCUAAGUGAGGCAAGAGGAGGAGCUGGGCUUUCUGUGACAUGAGGGGCUACGGGUCAUCACUGGGGGCUUCUGACUAAGGGCACUAAUUGGACAGUAGGAUGCUCAUAAAGAUGAAACAUCUUUAAGUUGUCAGGAAGAGCUGAUGGAUCUACAGCUCGAGCUCUGGACUAAGUGCACAUAUAUUGGAGAUUAGAAGAGGACAUUAACAUGAAAACCGGAAAGAAAUGUUUGAUUGAUAGCUCAGAAGGAAAUGCCAAGGUUUCCUUGAGGAUUGCCUUACGCUAUCCAUAUAUAUUAAUCAUAAAAUCUGAAACAUAUUGUUCCUGGUUUGUGAUGUAUUUUUAAGAAAUCUUUUUGUCAAGAUGCAAAUUACAGAAAUUAUGAUUGUGAUUAUUACGGUUAGUUUUAAUUAGCAAAUAUUACUUAAAUGAUAAAAUAAUGAAAAAAGACUUUUUCCUCUACAUAAGACCAUGUUAGUGGAAAGCAAGUAGAAAAGUUGAAGAAACUGGAG
rnacentral:lncRNA from 1 species